GUCCACGCUGUAAACGAUGUGCACUAGGCGUGGGGCACGUACGUGUUCUGUGCCGUAGUUAACGUGUUAAGUGCACCGCCUGGGGAGUAUGCUCGCAAGGGUGAAACUCAAAGGAAUUGACGGGGGCCCGCACAAGCGGUGGAGCAUGUGGUUUAAUUCGAUGGUACACGAGGAACCUUACCAGGGCUUGACAUGUGCGUGAAUGUUCACGAGAGUGGGCAGCCCCGCAAGGGGCGCGCACACAGGUGCUGCAUGGCUGUCGU
rnacentral:rRNA from 1 species